rnacentral:rRNA from 1 species
AUUGAACGCUGGCGGCAGGCUUAACACAUGCAAGUCGAGCGGAGAUGAGGUGCUUGCACCUUAUCUUAGCGGCGGACGGGUGAGUAAUGCUUAGGAAUCUGCCUAUUAGUGGGGGACAACAUUCCGAAAGGAAUGCUAAUACCGCAUACGCCCUACGGGGGAAAGCAGGGGAUCUUCGGACCUUGCGCUAAUAGAUGAGCCUAAGUCGGAUUAGCUAGUUGGUGGGGUAAAGGCCUACCAAGGCGACGAUCUGUAGCGGGUCUGAGAGGAUGAUCCGCCACACUGGGACUGAGACACGGCCCAGACUCCUACGGGAGGUAGCAGUGGGGAAUAUUGGACAAUGGGCGGAAGCCUGAUCCAGCCAUGUCGCGUGUGUGAAGAAGGCCUUUUGGUUGUAAAGCACUUUAAGCGAGGAGGAGGCUACCUGGAUUAAUACUCUAGGAUAGUGGACGUUACUCGCAGAAUAAGCACCGGCUAACUCUGUGCCAGCAGCCGCCGUAAAAC